rnacentral:rRNA from 1 species
UUCUGCCCUAUGAUUAUUUAAAUGGCUGCAGUAUUCUGACUGUGCAAAGGUAGCAUAAUAAUUAGCCUUUUAAUUGAAGGCUGGUAUGAAUGAAUUAAUGAGAUAUUUAUUUUAUUAUUUUUAUUUUUAAAAUUUAAUAUUUAGGUAAAAAAGCCUACUUGAAUUUCUGGGACGAUAAGACCCUAUAGAACUUCAUUUUUGUUUUGAAUAGUUUUUUAUUAGUUUAUUAUUGUUUUAUUAUUAAAAUAAAUUUUUUGUUGGGGUGACAAAUAAAUUUUAACUUUAUUUACUUUUUUCAUUAAAUUUAUGUUUUUUUGAUCCAUAUAUUUAAUAUGAUUUUAAGAUUAAGUUACCUUAGGGAUAACAGCGUAAUUUUAAUGAAGAGUUCAUAUCUAUAUUAAAGUUUGCGACCUCGAUGUUGAAUUAAGAUAAAAUUAAGGGGUAG